CACUAAGAAGCUAAACAGGGCGAUAGCGUCAGCCUUUUAAGCUGAAGAUUGGUGCCCCCCAACCACCCUUAGUGA
rnacentral:tRNA from 1 species